AAUUUUCCAGUUUGCCGAUCUCUACACUGGAAGACUACACCGUAGCUACCCUCCCCAAGACGCGCCAGUCGUUCGUAUCGUUCCAUCGCCUUGCUCGGCGCGCGUGACCUACAAAAAAGUAAUUUUGAAAUAAUAUACCGCCGACGAGGAAUUUGAAGUGUAUAGAAAAAGUGUAUAGAAAUUCGAAAUCAAAAGUUUUAUCAUUUGUAAUGAUUGAGCCAAGUAAAAAGACAGAUUGAGGAUUGUUUUUAUCACAAGGAUUGUUUGUAUCAAGGAAAGAACAGAGAAACAUUUAGAGUUUCUAGAAUGAAGAAAUACCAAAAAUGCGUCUUACGUCUGUACUUUCGUGUAAUAAUCUAAGGAAGUAAAUGCUUCCAUAAAAGUAGAAAUGAAUACUCUUUAUUUCUACUUUUAAUUCAGUAAUAAGGAGUAUAUUUUUUCUUCAACUCCUUUUACGUGCGUCUACGUGUGUCAUUAAAAAAGUGGUUUACUAUCAACGUUGUUACGAUGAAAAUUUAUAAUAUACUUAUCGAUUUUGGACAUGUAAAACCGAGUUCGACAUAAACUGGGUUGCACGAUUCGUGACCCUUUUUUUAUUUUUUUUUUUUUUUUAUUUUACACAGAAUUACAUGUUAGAGCCUCCCUUUACACAAAUAUACAGAACGUGUAUGCGUUAGUCGCGACGUGGUCCCUGCAUUUGCAAGAACGAAAUAUUUCUUACUGUAUACGUAGAAUAAAUUCGCGUUUCCUCGACCAGCAUUUACGAAUAAAAUUUCAUGUAAUGUUCAAAUGAGACAGAGAGAACCUUUUUGACAAAGUUGGAUUGAAACAAACUUAGAUUAUUUUACAAAAUUCGCUUCUCUUGCCUCAAAUACAGUUGAAUCAUUAUAAUGUAAUUCGUGUAUCGUAAAAUUGAGAGUUCAUGCAUAAAACAUUUCCAAUGCAAUACAUUAUACAAUUUUACAUGUCUACGUUACGUUUUUACAAUGGAAGGAGUACAGAAUAUGUACUUUCUGCUCGAUUUUCUGGGGUAUAUACAUACAUGAACCUUGGUUUUUUUCUCUGGCAGUUUUGUUUUCCGAUUUUUUUCAAAUACAAUCGUUACCACGAAAAUUGAGAGUCAAUGUUUCGUCGUGAGACUACAAUUUAUACAAUCGUAGAAAAUCCAAUGUGAAACAGUUGCGUGUACGAAGAUUGGUAGAAUAGAUGAUUAUGUA